AAGGUCCUUCGGCAAAUGGACAAAGUGUAUACAGAAAUCGAGUGAUUAUGUCAAAAAAUGAUGUAUGUCUUUUUUGACAAUUGCUUAAAAUAAAUUCUACACCGACAGAGCGGGCUGUUAAUCUAGAGGCUGGAGUACAAAGAAGUGGCACAAUGAUGUGGGCUGAUGACAUUUAUAAUUAUCAAGGAAUCACCCCUACAUUCGCUCAGAAUUUUAAUGAAACUGUCCCUUGGGAAGGAAGAACUGAUACCUUGAUAUCACGGUUUGUACAUCCUAUAUAUACGACAAAUUUUAGAACAUUAUAUAACGAAGAACCAGAUCGUCGUGGCCAUGUGAUGUGAAUAAAAGGACUUGAAUUUGAUGAUAUUUUUAUAAUGUUAGAUAACAUAACUAAGUAUCUUCACAGUAAGAUAGGAUGACAUGGUUUACAUGAUCUUAAUGUUGUUCACUCGAGUGAUGAUAUUAUAAGGAAAAGUGUAAUAUCACAGGUAGGAUGAUUCAUAAUUUAGAACUACUAACUCAUGUAUGUAUUAAAAAUUAAAGAAAUAUAUUAAAUUUUAUAGGAUAUUUAUGUUUAGUAACCAGUAAUUCAGAGAUUGGUAUUCAUGGUUACUAUAACGAGGCUGUAGAAACGCACCCUUUCUUCUUUGCAAAUGGUCCUGUAUUUAUGUCUAAGCCGAAACUGGAACCUCUGAAUAAUUUAGAUUUAUUCUUGUUAUUUUCUAAAAUACUUAUCUACAGUAUACCAUAAGGAAUGAUACCGUAUCGCACCUAAUCAAGUGCCUUAAGAAACAUCAACAGGAUAUCACAGUAAUCCCUUAUCGACUGAUAUUUGUAGCCACUACAAUAUCUAUGACACUGGUAGUAAUUAUAAGAACAAUAAUGAUGUUCUAUAAGAGGAAAUGAUGAUUAGGAACAAAAACUUACAGGAGAUAUCAUGCGGUGGAUGGAUAAUAUGUAAAAAAUAUUAAGCAGUAUAUGAAUUUUCAUAUUGCGUAGAGAUAACAAAAUGAAUUUUAAAAAAUGUCGACAUGGUAAUAAGAAAUAGCAUCAUGACAAAGAAUAUAUAAACACAGUUUCAUUUUUUAUAAAUAAAAAUUUGUUGUUCCAGAUUUUGAAA